GACGAACGCUGGCGGCGUGCCUAAUACAUGCAAGUUGAGCGCUGAAGGUUGGUACUUGUACCAACUGGAUGAGCAGCGAACGGGUGAGUAACGCGUGGGGAAUCUGCCUUUGAGCGGGGGACAACAUUUGGAAACGAAUGCUAAUACCGCAUAAAAACUUUAAACACAAGUUUUAGGUUUGAAAGAUGCAAUUGCAUCACUCAAAGAUGAUCCCGCGUUGUAUUAGCUAGUUGGUGAGGUAAAGGCUCACCAAGGCGAUGAUACAUAGCCGACCUGAGAGGGUGAUCGGCCACAUUGGGACUGAGACACGGCCCAAACUCCUACGGGAGGCAGCAGUAGGGAAUCUUCGGCAAUGGACGAAAGUCUGACCGAGCAACGCCGCGUGAGUGAAGAAGGUUUUCGGAUCGUAAAACUCUGUUGGUAGAGAAGAACGUUGGUGAGAGUGGAAAGCUCAUCAAGUGACGGUAACUACCCAGAAAGGGACGGCUAACUACGUG
rnacentral:rRNA from 1 species